rnacentral:misc_RNA from 1 species
AAGUCGUAACAAGGUUUCCGUAGGUGAACCUGCGGAAGGAUCAUUAUCAAAGUCUCCACCUCUUUUUCUCAUUCCCUUCUGCUUGUGGCUUCAUGUUAUAUGUCGCUUCACGAAGGUGUGUGGGGCUUUAGGCCCCCGGCCAUGAUGCUAGCGAUGUGCGGGUUUGGGAAGCUGCUGAAGGUGAAGGUGAAUGGAUAGCGUGCACCACAUUGUAGUUGACCAUUUGCCAUGUGCAGGUCUACUACCCCCCCGCUUUCUGUCACCAACCAAAACUGGUCAUUGUAUGUUGGUGGGCACUUUGCCCUUUAAUAUCUGAAUAUAUAACUUUCAACAACGGAUCUCUUGGCUCUC